rnacentral:lncRNA from 1 species
UUUUUUUUUUUUAACAAUCUUAUUAACCCAGGGUGGGUGAACAGCAGUGAACCCCACCACCACCCCGGGCUCACCCACGCGUGUGCAGAGAUCUGAGCUGCUGCGGGGUCCACACCACGGACAGGCGAGCCCACCCACUGCCCCGGCCUCGGCGCCCAGGCCUGGUCAGACUGCAGGGAGGGCGGAUUCCACUCGGGUGGGCAGGGGCGGCUGAAAUCCCGUUUGGAGCUUUGUCAUCCCAGUUUCAGGAAGCCCACAGCUGAGCUGGUGCCAAGCACCGAAAGGCCGGUUGCACUGCACGGUCAGUGCCAGGGCUCGAGAUGCUGGCACAUCGGCCAUCAGGGCCAGGGGUCUAGGCCGUGCACUUGGCUCCAGAACGCACAGCUGGCAGCCCUCCAACCUCGACAGGCCUCCUCUGGAGGCCAAGGGCGCUUUGUCUGCUCCCCCAAAGGUGAAGGAUUCUCAGCCCAGUUCCUGGUUCUGGACUCCCCAGCACACGGCAGGAGGCUGGCACGGCCGCCUCCAGGUCAACCCAGAAGGAACUCGGGAGCAGGGAGCUCACUGAGGACAGGGCCUGCGUGGGGGUCACCUGGGGGGCCCUUCCCCAGGCUGGCACACACCGGCCCUCCAUCAAUAUUUGCUGAUCCAAACUAAAUGGGAAGCCUCCCCUCUGCCAAAGGGAGCUGGGCCUCCCCACCCAGGGCCAGCUGCCUCGGGCCUUUCUGCCUCCCAGACCACACUCUGCUGACCUAGGGAAGCAGGCAUAGCCCGGCCCGGCAUGGGGAGGCGCGGCCUGGGCCUUGAGGUGGGUCAGAGAGUGGACACACAUCGUCCAACUUUCCAGGCCCCCAGCAUUCUCCUAAGGACGGGAGCAAUGCCACAGAGCAUCCAGUUUCCCAGGAGAAGUGGCCAGCGGCCCAUGCAAAUAUUUCUACAGAGGAAAAAGCAACUCCAGCCAGGGAUUCCUACCCCUGGAAGCCAAACCGAGACUCAUUUUAAAGAAAGCCUGAAAAACAAAUUGACCAUCAACGGCUUAAGAGUGAUCACUAGUUGAAAAGCUGUCACACACAAUUAACACAUCAGACCCUGGGGUUGGGGGGGGGCACAAAAGGUGACAGGGCAAUGCUCCCGUGCACUAGGGCUGCGCACGUCUAGACCCUUAUUCGAGCCCCGUAACCAUCAGCAUCACCAGCUUCCCCAGUUUACAGAUGACCACGGAAGGCUCAGAGAGGUGAAGUGAUUCUUCCUAAGUCACACAGCUGGGAACCCUCCAUCUCCCAAGACAAGGGAGAAACAACAGACCCCCAAGCCUGGCACCUGUGCACCCCUUGAUCUGCUGCUGGUGACCUGUUCCACCCCCUCUGCACCGUGUCCUAGGCUCCCGACGUCAAGCUGGCUACUCGCAGGGCCCAGAACACCCCGAGUGCCGUCACUCCCUCCGCCUCCAGUGGCCUCCCAUCCUCCACGGGGAAUGGCUUCGCCUCUUUCAUGUCCCGGCUCAGGCCCCUUCCAGAGCUCUCAGCCUCCCUCGAUGGUCCCUGAAGGCAUCGCACGGCUCCCAGUCCCUUUGCCUGGCAUCCUCCAGGGGCUGAGCCCUCAUCUCUGUAUCCCGCUGCCUAGAACAGCGAACAGCCUGAGCAAGCCCCUCCCGCUCCCUGUGCCCGGGUCUCUGGCUGGGGAGGGACUUGGGCCAAACGACCCCCCCACCCUCCACCAAGAACCCUGGGAACUUGGGGCAGGGGCAGCCACUGAAAGGUUCUGUCCGUGGAGACGCGCAGAGGGGCCCCUGAUUCCUGUCCUCGGCCGUUUGAUGCCACAGCCCACCUGGACAGAAUGAAUGGCAGCUGCCUUUCCAGGUGUCCAGCAUGCCCAGGCACCAGGCUGGGCCCUUCCACGCGUUAUCUCAGUUAACGCCCCACUUCCCAGAGGAGGAAACAGAGGCUUAGCCGUGGGAAGAAGGUUCCCAGCCACCGAGCACCAAGGCAGCAGCUGCUCCUCUGCCCGCCAGCCCCCUUCUCGUCCCUGCGGCCUCAGCAGACAGAAAGGGCGUCAAGUGCCACGUGAGCAAGGACCCACGAGAGCAUCCACAGUGAGCUCAGUCCACGCCUGUAAAUGCCACCACCGGGGUGGAAACAACGCAGACGUGCCCAGGCUCUGAGCUGACGGGGAUGCAGGUCUAAAAGGGACCCCCCAACACACACACCUGAAGGCAUCGUUACAGCCCAGCACAGCAGGAAGCUGCCACCUUGCUUCUUGAGGUCUAAAGAAUCCUUUUGCCAUACGCCCGCCCCAGCCCCUGUCACCCCACCUUCCAGCCAAUGGGCAUCGCAGAGAGGUCCUGGGUGCUGGGUGGCCCCUGUCCUCCCAAGACUGCUUCAGUCGGAGAGGCUUCUUCCUCGUGGGUCUGCCCCUGCCCCAGACUUCCAGGCUCUGUGCAGCCCCCAGAGCGGGGACCCUCUGGGACCCCGCUCAGAGCUGACCUUGGAAAUGGAAAAGGCCGCCCGGGCGUGAUGACGGGGUGUGCAGCUGAAGGGGGACAGUCACCGCUGUGGGCGGUUGCUGCCGACGGGAUCCACCCCCGAGCUGUGUGGUGGCCCCUGGUGAACUUGGAGACCAGCCACUCCCUGGCAUCGGGCAGAAGCUGAGGGCCUGUGGACCCGAUACUGAGCUCCCUGAGCGCCUCCUGUCUGCAGUGAUGAGGCAUCGUGCCCUCGGUGGGGGGGAUGGGGGCAUGGUGGGGAGGGAGGCAGGUGGUGGGGGAGCCAGAAACUUGUGCCCCCCACCCUGGCACCGCACCCCAAAGGCACUCAGACAACCCCUUCCCCCAGGCAGUGCCUGGCAGGGAUCCCUCCUCUGCUCACCCCGCAGUCACUCAGAGCAUCAGUGAUGGGCGAGCGCUGGCCAGCAAGAAGCCGGACAUUGACAUGUGCUUCCAAAGAGUCCAGAACCUUCUCCCUCAAAGGUGACCCCCCUCUUUCCCUGCACCCAGGCAGAGGGGGAACCUGCACCCAAAGGCUGGAAGGCAUAUGCUUCAGACUAAACCGAGCACCAGCAUCUCAGUUCCAGCCUUGGGUCCCUGAAGGUAGUCGCGAAGGGCAUUCUCUAUUCAAACAUGUUAAACGUGCCAAAAUCUAAAGAAACCCAUGAAUUUAUCUACAAUAAGGCCACAUGGGCAACGUGAACACGACUGCUUGGCUUGGGUCCUAAUUUAAGCCCACCUGGGCUGACAAGACCUCUUAUCAAAGGGUACCUGGGACAGGACAGGUGGGCCAGGUCCCAGACCUGUGGGCAGGUGUACAGAAGAUGCAGCGUCACUAAAUUACUUUGAAAAGGCAGUUUCCAUCGUGGCUCAGCGGUAACGAACCCAACUAGUAUCCACGAGGAUGCGGGUUCGAUUCCUGGGCUCACUCGGGGGGUUAAGGAUCCAGUGUUGCCAUGGGCUGUGGUUUAGGUUGCAGAUGCAGCUCAGAUCCCGCGUGGCUGUGGCUGUGGCUGUGACUGUGGUGCAGGCCAGCAGCUGGAGCUCUGAUUUGACCCCUAGCCUGGGGACUUCCAUAAGCCAUAGAUGCAGUCUUAAAAAAUAAAUAAAAAGGAGUUCCCAUCGUGGUGCAGCGGAAACAAACCCAACUAGUAUCCAUGAGGAGGCAGGUUCGAUUCCUGGCCUCGCUCAGUGGGUUAAGGAUCCGGUGUUGCCGCGAGCUGUGGUGAGGUCAGCGGCUGCAGCUCCAAUUCGACCCCCAGCCUGGGAACCUCCAUAUGCUAAAAAGCAAAAAUAAAAAAUACAUAAAGAAAGAAAGAAAGAAUAAAAACAUAAAUUACUUUGAAAAGGAGGGUGAAAUGGUCGUUACUUAAUGGAAACGCAGUCUCUCGCAGCCAUAGGAAGAGAGAAUGAAAAUAAAACAGUCGUGGAAGGAACGGUAGGACUGGCCGGGGAAGGGGAGAAAGAAUUCUGGGGCUGGUAACUCGGGGGGCUCGACCCUCAGCCGUUUCUUCCAGGCGGUGUGGCCAGUGGUUCUCCAGACCCUGAAAACAAGCACGCAGGGACCACCCUACCUCAGACGCCAGGGCCAGCUGGGCUCCCAGAGAAGUUGAAUCCACACUGUGGGCCCCAUCCCAGUUCUAGACCGCCUGGAAAAAUUCAAAGAUUUUCCCAAAGGCUCCGCCUCCCCCCCUGGACAUUAGACACACGCAGCCGCGCAGGGCAAGGUGUCAGUGACCCUGGACCCUUGGGAAAGGGGACAGCCGAGUCUCAGCAGCUCCCGGCCUCACCCUGGGAGCUUCAGCAACCUCUGUUUUCUGGAGAAGGAAAAGCAGCUGAGAUGUUCAGCACAUCUUGGCAGGCCUUGCCCACCUCCCAGCCUUUGUGGAAUGAGGUCAGGAGUAAGGAGAUAAACAAACUGAAAGUCACUGCUAAUGAGCAGAACGCGCAGAAAUUUCCUUUUCCUAUAUACCGCCCCCAGCAAUCAGAACAAAAUGCCACGAUAACUACCUCUUAACCCACUGUGGAGCCACACCGCCAGCCCAAGGCCCUCCUUCCAAUACCCUUCCUUCCUUGGCAGAACAAGCCGGUGACAGAGGGUCAAGGUCAACCCACAGGGGCAGCCUGUACAGUGAGGUCACGCAGGAAGGGAGCCUGCGGGGCCAAGGCCGGGGCUUCAGGAAGGGCGCACCCAAGCUGGCGAGGUCCAUCUGCCCCAGGCCGAUGCCGCUGGCUUCUGUGACCAAACCUCUCCCUCUCCAGGGAAAAAGAUGCAGAGUGAGGUCUGGGGGUGCCAAAUGAGAGGACCAGACCCCCUCUCUCUGACGUUCUGUCUCACUUUCUGCGCGGGUCGAUGUGAAAACCUGUCUCCAUUUUUGGAUGCCACAGGCCAUCGUGAUGCGUCCGCGUGACACUCACGGCUCCUCAUCUUGGAGACCCGACAAUGACAGUUCUUGGACUGGCUGCCUGUUUUUGUAAAAAUAAAGAUUUAUUGACACUGCCACACCCACUCAGUACACACUGUCUGUGAACACUCUUGCCCUGCCGUGGCGGAGCUGAGUAGCUGCAAAUGAGAGGACGGGGGCCCACAGAGCCUCAAAUAGCUACCAACUGGCCUUUUAUCUUAGAGGAAGCCCUGCCUGAUCUAAAAAACUAUGG